rnacentral:rRNA from 1 species
AGUGAACGCUGGCGGUAGGCCUAACACAUGCAAGUCGAACGGCAGCACAGUAAGAGCUUGCUCUUACGGGUGGCGAGUGGCGGACGGGUGAGGAAUACAUCGGAAUCUACUUUUUCGUGGGGGCUAACGUAGGGAAUCUUACGCUAAUACCGCAUACGACCUACGGGUGAAAGCAGGGGAUCUUCGGAUCUUGCGCGAUUGAAUGAGCCGAUGUCGGAUUAGCUAGUUGGCGGGGUAAAGGCCCACCAAGGCGACGAUCCGUAGCUGGUCUGAGAGGAUGAUCAGCCACACUGGAACUGAGACACGGUCCAGACUCCUACGGGAGGCAGCAGUGGGGAAUAUUGGACAAUGGGCGCAAGCCUGAUCCAGCCAUACCGCGUGUGUGAAGAAGGCCUUCGGGUUGUAAAGCACUUUUGUUGGGAAAGAAAAGCAGCAGGUUAAUACCCCGCUGUUCUGACGGUACCCAAAGAAUAAGCACCGGCUAACUUCGUG